UACGUAGGGGGCAAGCGUUGUCCGGAAUCAUUGGGCGUAAAGAGCGUGUAGGCGGUCCGGUAAGUCGGCUGUGAAAGUCCAGGGCUCAACCCUGGGAUGCCGGUCGAUACUGCCGGACUAGAGUUCGGAAGAGGCGAGUGGAAUUCCCGCUGUAGCGGUGAAAUGCGCAGAUAUCGGGAGGAACACCUAUGGCGAAGGCAGCUCGCUGGGACGUUACUGACGCUGAGACGCGAAAGCGUGGGGAGCAAACAGG
rnacentral:rRNA from 1 species